UAAGCAUGCAAGACAGUUAUAAAAGUUCUACUCUUUCAGUGUUUUCUGUUCCAACCUUGCUAACAUUACCCUAUGAGAUCUUUGGAACGCUAUACAAAAGAAGCUACGAGAAUACCACUAUAUAGUAUCUGCGAAAGAACUCGUCCAGUGUUUCCAACUGGAUUUUCGUUAUUUAUAUAAUGCUGUAACUUCGCGAGAACCACUGGCCAUAACAGUUCAAAGACGAGUUGAGAAUAAUCAGCAUCAUCUCUUCGGCUGCCUUCUCUAUAUAGUACGUAGCACGGGCGAUAUUGCAGCGCAUGUGUCCACCUUGCUGGCAUGAUCAAAUGAAGAUGAACCGACUCUACUAGCCGAAGAUGCUGCGAGCGGGUUCUGAUCAAACGGUUCCUAUACCUCGCUUAUUCUCCCAAGUUUUCGGCUCCUAGGUGUACGUACCACUGACUGUCGCGGACGGCCAUGAAUGCUGGAAGUCUCUUUUUGUCACCGCCGUACUACACUGGCUGCAUCGUAUACAAGCGGAGACGAGCUUUCACCCGAGGGCACACACAAUGCCGAAUGGCUCGAUUGUGUUCAAUAAACGUGUGCCAGCUUCCACCACAAUGCCUUCUCGAGGUCUGCGCCAUUCACGUUCGUUGAUCAGGCAAGUGACUCGUAAUACCCUCGCUAUUGCGAAACCUCGACUAGUGUGACCAGGAAUAAAUAAAUAUUUGAGAAACCUU